rnacentral:rRNA from 1 species
GAUGAACGCUGGCGGCGUGCCUAACACAUGCAAGUCGAGCGGCCGCAUGGUGAGCGCGCGCCUCUGACGGUAGCGGCUGACGGGUGAGUAACGCGUACAUCACCAUCCUAUAAUUCGGGGAUAAUUACGGGAAACCACAGCCAAUACUGGCUAAUACGUCCUACCGCAGGGAGCAAGAGUGCUUGGCGGUUUGCGCGUCACUUUUAGAUGGAGCCGGAUCGCAUUAGCUAGUUGGUAAGGUAACGGCUUACCAAGGCAACGAUGCGUAGCCGACCUGAGAGGGUGAUCAGCCACACUGGAACUGAGACACGGUCCAGACUCCUACGGGAGGCAGCAGUGGGGAAUCUUCCACAAUGGGCGAAAGCCUGACGCAGCCACGCCGCGUGAGUGAAGAAGGUCUUCGGGUCGUAAAGCUCUGUUAUUAGGAAAGAAAAAAUGUGGAAGUAUCCAUGGACGUCUUGACGGUACCUAAUGAGAAAGCCCCGGCUAACUUCGUG